AGAGCUGCAGAUCCAGCUGAAACCACUGAAGUGCGCUACCUUUGACAUUUGCUUCCUAUAAUGAACAAAAUGUAGCGUUUUCCAAGCAAAUCCGCUGCAGUUGGUCGUGAUGUCUGUCUUGGAGUUGCUUCUUAGGAUUAUUACAGGACUGAUAAGAUGAGGUGUUUUUUAUUAUCAUGGAUAAAAUCAGUUAUUGGCUGGUGCUCGUGUGUUAAAAUUCAGAUGAUUAGGCACACAUAAUCAUCAUUAGGAAUUUGUCUUUGGCUUUAGUUGAUCAGUUGAAUAGGUGGAUUGGUGGGGGAAAUUAUUAUUUAUUUUAAGAGUAGCUUAUCUGCAAGGAAAAUGGGAAGCACUGUGAUGGAUUCAAAGAAGACGGAUGGAAGGAAGAAAUGGACAAGAAGAAGGACAACGCUUCGGUUAAACAUGCCGGACCUGAGCUUAUUUGCCAUGCCCUUCCUGGAGGGAGAUGAUGAGCACAAUGACAAGGAUGACACGCAUAAGGGAGAGACCAGCUGCCACUCAGCUAGCCCAACUAAAGGGUUUUUCAGCAGGAGUCCGUUUAGUCGGCCCUCUAGCCCCAUGUCGGCUCCAGCAAGGUCCAAAACCAGCCCGGGGUCACCAAGAACCAUCUUCCCCUACCCCCUACAUCAGGAUUCGCCACCUAAAUCACCGCGCCGCCUCAGCUUUUCUGGAAUCUUUCGCUCAUCCUCCAAGGACUCCUCUUGUGCCUCCCUGUCCACUUCCUCUUCUGCCUCUCCAGUCAGUAUUAAACUCUUCUCCCGUGCCAGGAAAGUGUCUGGGAUCUCCUCACCACCCACCACUCCUACACAACUGACCAAACCUUCACCACCAUUUCCUGUGGAGGAAAACCGCAACCUCCCUAUGCGUCAAGAGGAACGGUUGCGCUCUCUGUCCUCUCCCCCAGACACAGGCCAGCACUUCAGUUUGCCCUCAGCCAAGCCACCUCUCACCACUUCCUCAGCACCUAUCGCUACCUCACACAUGGUUCGCGGUUUGUCUGAAGGCAUGCUGGAGAAACUCGAUCUCGAAGAUGAAGUUGUCGAAGAGUCUGAAAGUGAUAUUUACAUGCGCUUUAUGAAGUCCCACAAGUGCUAUGACAUUGUCCCCACUAGUUCCAAGCUAGUGGUGUUUGACACAACACUACAAGUUAAGAAGGCCUUUUUCGCACUGGUGGCUAAUGGAGUUCGAGCUGCGCCACUGUGGGAGACGAAGAAGCAGAGUUUUGUAGGAAUGCUAACAAUCACAGACUUCAUCAAUAUACUUCACAGAUACUACAAGUCACCCAUGGUGCAAAUCUAUGAGCUGGAGGAACAUAAGAUUGAGACUUGGAGAGAGCUCUAUUUACAAGAAACCUUUAAACCUUUAGUCAACAUAUCACCAGAUGCAAGCAUAUUCGACGCUGUGUAUUCGCUAAUCAAGAACAAGAUUCACCGCUUGCCCGUUAUUGACCCCGUCAGUGGGAAUGCACUUUAUAUCCUCACGCACAAGAGGAUCCUCAAGUUCCUACAGCUUUUCGUGUGUGAGAUGCCAAAGCCUGCCUUCAUGAAGAAGACCCUGGAAGAGCUGGGCAUCGGGACGUACAGCAACAUCGCCUUCAUUCACCCUGACACGCCAAUAAUCAAAGCUCUGAGCAUCUUCGUGGACAGGAGGGUUUCAGCUCUGCCUGUGGUAGACGAGUCCGGAAAGGUUGUAGAUAUUUAUUCCAAGUUUGAUGUCAUUAAUCUUGCUGCUGAAAAGACCUACAAUAACCUGGACAUUAGCGUGACUCAGGCGUUGAUGCAUCGCUCCCAGUAUUUUGAGGGUGUCAUGAAGUGCAACAGACUGGAGACUCUGGAGACUAUAGUGGACAGGAUAGUCAAAGCUGAGGUGCACAGGCUGGUGGUGGUAGACGAGGCUGGCUGCAUCGUGGGUAUUGUGUCCCUGUCGGACAUCCUGCAGGCCCUGGUCCUCACUCCAGCAGGUAUAGACGCUCUGCACUGCUAAAGCUCCUCUCUGUUCCCGGACUCCUCUCUCUUCCCACCCCAACACACACGCACACAGGUCUGACCAGGAAGGAGAGUGAGGAAGCUGAGUGAUGCACAUCAGAACUGCUAAAUUCUGUCAUGCUGCUGGAAGAGGAAGCGGGAAGUAGAUUUGAAGCUGGAGUUUGGGAUGAAUUUGCAGCCCACUGAGGGCUGGCAGAAGGAGGAAAAGGGUACAUGGGUGCAAACUGAAUGCUGCUGAAGGCCAGACGAGGAAAUGGAUUGAUGGGGGGAAUGGAUGGAUGGGCUACAGGGGCGACAAGGUGGACCACCAAGGAUCUCUUCCUCACAGGGAUUCUGCAGAGCUCAGUGUCUAAAGCUGUUACUGCACGCUCACUAUCACUACAUAUGAAACAUCACCAUCUGGUGUCCAUUCUGUGUACUAAACUCACUGGUAUACUUAGGACUGUACCAUCAAUAUCAUCUGAGGGGAUUCCUUCUAGUGACAAACAACUUAGAACUGGCUUUAUUCAGAGCAAUUUUUUUUUUUCUCAUUUCCAUGUUCUUUGUUUAUAGCACAGCUUUGGCUUGUGGGUUUACUUGCACAUUUGAAACUGUCCUUUAGUUCUGUACCAAUUUUAUCCUCCCUUUAUUAAUAUUCAUCUCCCCUCUUUCUUUAAAUGGUGCCUUCUGUCCACCAGUUGUCGCCCAUUACGGAUGGCCAAGAGAAAGCCAGAACAGCGAAUGUUCAAAUGAAACAAAAUGAAUGUCAGUGUAUCUGAAAACCAAAAUGUUUGGAAUAUGUUGUCAGUGAUUUUAAUAGUUUUAAGUUUAUAUAUAUAUAUUUUUCCUUCCUUUGAAAAGUUUUAUUUCAAUAAUAUGUUUUUGGAAUGAUACUGUAAACAUAGAUUCAGCGUUUUAUUUAUUUGUACUUUAAUAUUUGUUAUAAUUUUUUUUAAAUGUCAAAUGGGAUGGAAAGAUACGUUCAGGCCCUAUGCAUUAAAAUGACGUUCUUAUGACUUGACAUUUAGUGCAAUUUCAAAACGCAGCCGCUGCCUACAAGCAGUUAUUUCUUCUCUCCAGGUAAACCGGAGGCAUGCAACGAAACCCCUCAUACUCCGUAUCAGUUGUACUGUACAUAGGAAGAGCUUGUGAGAUAUCUACAAAGUGCCAGAGAAAGGUCUAUUUUUCUGUGCAUUCAAUGUAUGUUUGUAAUAUUACAGAUUUUCAUUUGCAGGUCCUGUCAUCUUUAUUGUGGCUGUGUUGAUGGUAAAGGUCACUGAUGAAAACAUCAUGUCCACUGAAAAUUGUACAUCACUGGCAUGAAGAUGAUACUACAAUGGUUAAACAUUGUGGGUUGAUUUUAUUUUUCCAUUUUGCGGUUUGGAAAACAAUAAAUCAUGCUACUGAAUCUUUGAA